GACGAACGCUGGCGGCGUGCCUAAUACAUGCAAGUCGAGCGAGCGGAGCCAGCAGAUCUGCUUCGGCAGUGACGCUGGGAAAGCGAGCGGCGGAUGGGUGAGUAACACGUGGGGAACCUGCCCCAGAGUCUGGGAUACCACUUGGAAACAGGUGCUAAUACCGGAUAAGAAAGCAGAUCGCAUGAUCAGCUUUUAAAAGGCGGCGUAAGCUGUCGCUCAGGGAUGGCCCCGCGGUGCAUUAGCUAGUUGGCAAGGUAACGGCCUACCAAGGCAAUGAUGCAUAGCCGAGUUGAGAGACUGAUCGGCCACAUUGGGACUGAGACACGGCCCAAACUCCUACGGGAGGCAGCAGUAGGGAAUCUUCCACAAUGGACGCAAGUCUGAUGGAGCAACGCCGCGUGAGUGAAGAAGGUUUUCGGAUCGUAAAGCUCUGUUGUUGGUGAAGAAGGAUAGAGGUAGUAACUGGCCUUUAUUUGACGGUAAUCAACCAGAAAGUCACGGCUAACUACGUGCCAGCAGCCGCGGUAAUACGUAGGUGGCAAGCGUUGUCCGGAUUUAUUGGGCGUAAAGCGAGCGCAGGCGGAAAAAUAAGUCUAAUGUGAAAGCCCUCGGCUUAACCGAGGAAUUGCAUCGGAAACUGUUUUUCUUGAGUGCAGAAGAGGAGAGUGGAACUCCAUGUGUAGCGGUGGAAUGCGUAGAUAUAUGGAAGAACACCAGUGGCGAAGGCGGCUCUCUGGUCUGCAACUGACGCUGAGGCUCGAAAGCAUGGGUAGCGAACAGG
rnacentral:rRNA from 1 species